AAUGGGCGAAAGCCUGACCCAGCAACGCCGCGUGAGGGAAGAAGGUCUUCGGAUUGUAAACCUCUGUCCUUGGGGAAGAAAAAAAUGACGGUACCCAGGGAGGAAGCCCCGGCUAACUACGUGCCAGCAGCCGCGGUAAUACGUAGGGGGCAAGCGUUGUCCGGAAUUACUGGGCGUAAAGGGUGCGUAGGCGGUUGUCUAAGUCAGAUGUGAAAUCCCCGGGCUUAACUCGGGUGGUGCAUUUGAAACUGGGUAACUAGAGUGCAGGAGAGGGAAGCGGAAUUCCUAGUGUAGCGGUGAAAUGCGUAGAUAUUAGGAGGAACACCAGUGGCGAAGGCGGCUUUCUGGACUGUAACUGACGCUGAGGCACGAAAGCGUGGGGAGCAAA
rnacentral:rRNA from 1 species